rnacentral:rRNA from 1 species
UACGUAGGGGGCGAGUGUUGUCCGGAUUCAUUGGGCGUAAAGCGCUUUAAGGCGGUUCGGUAAGUCGGGUGUGAAACCUCCAGGCUCAACCUGGAGACGCCACUCGAUACUGCUGUGACUAGAGUUCGGUAGGGGAUCACGGAAUUCCUGGUGUAGCGGUGAAAUGCGCAGAUAUCAGGAGGAACACCGGUGGCGAAGGCGGUGAUCUGGGCCGACACUGACGCUGUAGAGCGAAAGCGUGGGGAGCGAACAGG